rnacentral:rRNA from 1 species
UGGGGAAUUUUGGACGAUGGACGCAAGUCUGAUCCAGCCAUGCCGCGUGCGGGAAGAAGGCCUUCGGGUUGUAAACCGCUUUUGUCAGGGAAGAAACGAGUUUCUCUAAUACAGAGACUUAAUGACGGUACCUGAAGAAUAAGCACCGGCUAACUACGUGCCAGCAGCCGCGGUAAUACGUAGGGUGCGAGCGUUAAUCGGAAUUACUGGGCGUAAAGCGUGCGCAGGCGGUGAUGUAAGACAGAUGUGAAAUCCCCGGGCUCAACCUGGGACCUGCAUUUGUGACUGCAUCGCUGGAGUGCGGCAGAGGGGGAUGGAAUUCCGCGUGUAGCAGUGAAAUGCGUAGAUAUGCGGAGGAACACCGAUGGCGGAGGCAAUCCCCUGGACCUGUACUGACGCUCAUGCACGAAAGCGUGGGGAGCAAACA